rnacentral:lncRNA from 1 species
UAUUAGAUGGAUAGAUUUGAUUAAAUAUUUAUUUAUGCUUAUUUAUAUAUUUGAAUAAUGUUGAGUGUUAUCCAUAUUUUUGUUCUCACUAUUCAUCUUUUGAGAUUCUCUAUUGACUUUUUGACAUUCGAAAAUAAAAAUUAUGCUCGAGUUGAUGGAAAUAGAAUUUGUCUUCAUUUGUUAAUUUGUCAGUGGAGGCCAUGCAUGGUACGCUGUGCCCUCACAUGCGCUUUGUGGGACCGCCACU